CAAGAAAUAGCUGUAAAAGAUUACCUUACAACAAAGGUCAAGGACUUAGAGGCAGAACUUGAAACUACAAAACAGAAAAAUAAAGAAAACCUGCAGCAAGCUAUUUUAAUUGAGAGGGAAAGGCUUACGCAAAUGCAGUGGGAUAUGGAGGAACUGAGGCGGAAAUCAUUAGAAAUGGAAUUGAAAUUGAAGUCCAGAGAGGAUGAAAAUUCAAGUGCAGGAUUAAAAAUGGGGUCCACUGAUCAGGAGAAAGAUACAGCAUUGCAGGAGUUGGAUGCUACUAGAAAGGAGCUUGAGAAUUUGUCAAAACAGUAUGAGGAGCUAGAAGCAAAAUCAAAAGCAGAUAUAAAAUAUCUGGCAAAAGAGUUCAAAUCCCUCAAAAGCUCCCAGGCAGAACUGAAGGAGAAACUUAGUCA
rnacentral:misc_RNA from 1 species